rnacentral:rRNA from 1 species
UACAGAGGUCUCAAGCGUUGUUCGGAUUCAUUGGGCGUAAAGGGUGCGUAGGCGGCGCGGUAAGUCGGGUGUGAAAUCUCGGAGCUUAACUCCGAAACUGCAUUCGAUACUGCCGUGCUUGAGGACUGGAGAGGAGACUGGAAUUUACGGUGUAGCGGUGAGAUGCGUAGAUAUCGAGAGGAACACCUGCGGCGAAGGCGGGUUGCUGGGCUGACACUGACGCUGAGGCGCGAAAGCUAGGGGAGCGAACGGG